rnacentral:misc_RNA from 1 species
UCCGGUUUGUCACCGGCAGUCUCAUUAGAGUGCCCUUUCGUAGCAACUAAUGACAAGGGUUGCGCUCGUUGCGGGACUUAACCCAACAUCUCACGACACGAGCUGACGACAGCCAUGCAGCACCUGUGUUCUGGUUCUCUUUCGAGCACCCCCGGAUCUCUCCAGGGUUCCAGACAUGUCAAGGGUAGGUAAGGUUUUUCGCGUUGCAUCGAAUUAAUCCACAUCAUCCACCGCUUGUGCGGGUCCCCGUCAAUUCCUUUGAGUUUUAGCCUUGCGGCCGUACUCCCCAGGCGGGGCGCUUAAUGCGUUAGCUGCGGCACGGAGGACGUGGAAUGUCCCCCACACCUAGUGCCCAACGUUUACGGCGUGGACUAC